CCCUGGGCAGCUGCCUGGCUCACCCAUGCCUCUGUCCGGCCCUGGCCACAUACCUGGUACUGCACUCCUUUGAAGCUUGCUACUUGCCUUCUAUGGGCUUAAAUCUCAGUUCAGACAGUUACUGAGAGGACUUUGGAAGCCUAGUGCACUUUUUAAUAGCAACAGAACAUCACAAAUCAGCCAGCAAAACUGUGCACAAUAAGCAUGUAUAUCAAGAGAUGGAAGGAAAGGGAAGCCCCAGCCAGAAGCAGUAGUGAAACGAAUCGGGGCAUAUCCUUGUGCAAUGCCAUGGUGUUUGUAUCACAGCUGUUGCUAUCUGAAAAAACUUUGAUGUUGAACACAGGGGGAAACAAGAGCAACUGAGGAAUUCAUUGUAUGAGAUACGUUUUAGCAAAGAAAUAUAAACAGGAUGAAAAGCCAAGAAAAUUCUGAAAUCUUCUACGUGGUUCUUGUUGCUAGGCCAGACCGCCUUGGUAUCCAUACAUUCAGCACAUCUGGCACCCUUGUGGUUGCUUUUUUCAGAGUGGG